UCGUCAGCUCGUGUCGUGAGAUGUUGGGUUAAGUCCCGCAACGAGCGCAACCCUUGUCCCCAGUUGCUACGCAAGAGCACUCUAGGGAGACUGCCGGUGACAAACCGGAGGAAGGUGGGGAUGACGUCAAGUCCUCAUGGCCCUUAUGGGUAGGGCUUCACACGUCAUACAAUGGUCGGAACAGAGGGUCGCCAACCCGCGAGGGGGAGCCAAUCCCAGAAAACCGAUCGUAGUCCGGAUCGCACUCUGCAACUCGAGUGCGUGAAGCUGGAAUCGCUAGUAAUCGCGGAUCAGCAUGCCGCGGUGAAUACGUUCCCGGGUCUUGUACACACCGCCCGUCACACCAUGGGAGUGGGUUUUACCAGAAGUGGCUAGUCUAACCGCAAGGAGGACGGUCACCACGGUAGGAUUCAUGACUGGGGUGAAGUCAUAACAAGGUAACCGUA
rnacentral:rRNA from 1 species